rnacentral:rRNA from 1 species
AUUGAACGCUGGCGGCAUGCUUUACACAUGCAAGUCGAACGGCAGCGCGGGCUUCGGCCUGGCGGCGAGUGGCGAACGGGUGAGUAAUGCAUCGGAACGUGCCCAGUAGUGGGGGAUAGCCCGGCGAAAGCCGGAUUAAUACCGCAUACGACCUGAGGGUGAAAGCGGGGGACCGAAAGGCCUCGCGCUAUUGGAGCGGCCGAUGUCGGAUUAGCUAGUUGGUGGGGUAAAGGCUUACCAAGGCGACGAUCCGUAGCUGGUCUGAGAGGACGACCAGCCACACUGGGACUGAGACACGGCCCAGACUCCUACGGGAGGCAGCAGUGGGGAAUUUUGGACAGUGGGGGCAACCCUGAGCCAGCCAUGCCGCGUGCGGGAAGAAGGCCUUCGGGUUGUAAACCGCUUUUGUUCGGGAAGAAAUCCUCUGGGCUAAUACCCCGGGGGGAUGACGGUACCGGAAGAAUAAGCACCGGCUAACUACGUG